UACGUAGGGGGCAAGCGUUGUCCGGAUUUAUUGGGCGGAAAGAGCGUGUAGGCGGCUGGGUAGGUCCGUUGUGAAAACUCGAGGCUCAACCUCGAGACGCCGAUGGAAACCCUCCAGCUAGAGUCCGGAAGAGGAGAGUGGAAUUCCUGGUGUAGCGGUGAAAUGCGCAGAUAUCAGGAAGAACACCCGUGGCUAAGGCGGCUCUCUAGUACGGUACUGACGCUGAGACGCGAAAGCGUGGGGAGCGAACAGG
rnacentral:rRNA from 1 species